rnacentral:rRNA from 1 species
AUUGAACGCUGGCGGAAUGCUUUACACAUGCAAGUCGAACGGUAGAGGGGGCAACCCCUCGAGAGUGGCGAACGGGUGAGUAAUAUAUCGGAACGUGCCCAGUCGUGGGGGAUAACGUAUCGAAAGUUACGCUAAUACCGCAUACGAUCUAAGGAUGGAAGCGGGGGAUCGCAAGACCUCGCGCGAUUGGAGCGGCCGAUAUCAGAUUAGGUAGUUGGUGGGGUAAAGGCUCACCAAGCCAACGAUCUGUAGCUGGUCUGAGAGGACGACGAGGCACACUGGAACGGAGACACGGUCCACACUCCGACGGGAGGCAGCAGAGGGGAAUGUUGGACACUGGACGCAAGUGUGAUCCAGCCAUUCCGCGUGCAGGAUGAAGGCCCUCGGGUUGUAAACUGCUUUUGUACGGAACGAAAAGGUCUCUCUUAAUACGGGGGACUCAUGACGGUACCGUAAGAAUAAGCACCGGCUAACUACGUGCCAGCCGCCGCGGUAACAC